UUUUUAGGUAUCGCGGGCGAUGAGUAGUGGGACGAGACGUGAGGUACGUGUGUAGCGGUCGAUAGAGCUUCCGACCCAGGUUAUUUCGGUUUAGUUAUUAUCCUUAGUAUUUCUGUUGAUAUAUAGCUUAGAUAGCUUAUACAGUUCAGUAUUUAUUUACAUUUGAAAAUGUGGAUUUCUGGAUUUUUGUAAAUUAAAAGGCUUUCUACCCCUCGUGGUAGCGUUUUUAAAGAAUAAAGGUUUCUGUGUAGGAAACAGCUUUCAAAAGGUUUUCUGUGAUUUUAUAUCGUAGUAUUUCAAAACCUGUUUCUGUGGUUGGAAACAUUUUAACUGAUAGAUGUGGAUUUAUGUUUAAAUGUUGAAUGCAUAAAUGUGAAUCUGUGGUGAAUAGUGUAUGAAUAUAUAUAACGGUUGGUUAUUUGUAUGUUCAUUUGUUGUGGUUGUGCCUGGGUGACUUCUUGUACUUGUGCGACGCCGUGCAAAUAUAGGGGAGACUCUGUCCGUGU
rnacentral:lncRNA from 1 species